rnacentral:rRNA from 1 species
CCUACGGGAGGCAGCAGUGGGGGAUAUUGCACAAUGGGGGGAACCCUGAUGCAGCGACGCCGCGUGGGUGAAGAAGCGCCUCGGCGCGUAAAGCCCUGUCAGCAGGGAAGAAAAUGACGGUACCUGAAGAAGAAGCCCCGGCUAACUACGUGCCAGCAGCCGCGGUAAUACGUAGGGGGCAAGCGUUAUCCGGAUUUACUGGGUGGAAAGGGGGCGCAAACGGCGAUGCAAGCCAGGAGUGAAAGCCCGGGGCCCAACCCCGGGACUGCUCUUGGAACUGCGUGGCUGGAGUGCAGGAGGGGCAGGCGGAAUUCCUGGUGUAGCGGUGAAAUGCGUAGAUAGCAGGAGGAACACCGGUGGCGAAGGCGGCCUGCUGGACUGCAACUGACGUUGAGGCCCGAAAGCGUGGGGAGCAAACAGGAUUAGAUACCCUUGUAGUC